GAUGAACGCUGGCGGCGUGCCUAAUACAUGCAAGUCGAGCGAACAGACGAGGAGCUUGCUCCUCUUACGUUAGCUGCGGACGGGUGAGUAACACGUGGAUAACCUACCUUUAAGACUGGGAUAACUUCUGGAAACCGUAGCUAAUACCGGAUAACAUGUUGAACCGCAUGGUUCAACAUUGAAAGACGGUCUUGCUGUCACUUAUAGAUGCAUUGCGGCCGCAUUAGGUAUUUGGUAAGGUAACGGCUUACCAAGGCAACGAUGCGUAGCCGACUUGAGAGGGUGAUCGGCAAAACUGGAACUGAGAAACGGUCAAAACUCCUAAGGAAGGAGGAAGAAGGGAAUCUUCCGAAAUGGGCGAAAGCCUGACGGAGAAAGGCCGCGUGAGUGAAGAAGGUCUUCGGAUCGAAAAACUCUGUUAAAAGGGAAGAACAAAUGUGUAAGUAAAAAUGCACGUCUUGACGGUAGCUAAUCAGAAAGCCACGGCUAACUACGUG
rnacentral:rRNA from 1 species